rnacentral:rRNA from 1 species
GCGAACGCUGGCGGCAGGCCUAACACAUGCAAGUCGAGCGCCCGGGCAACCGGGAGCGGCAGACGGGAGAGUAACACGUGGGAACGUACCCUUCAGUUCGGAACAACCCAGGGAAACUUGGGCUAAUACCGAAUACGUCCGUAAGGAGAAAGAUUUAUCGCUGAAGGAUCGGCUCGUGUCUGAUUAGCUAGUUGGUGAGGUAACGGCUCACCAAGGCGACGAUCAGUAGCUGGUCUGAGAGGAUGAUCAGCCUCAUUGGGACUGAGACACGGCCCAAACUCCUACGGGAGGCAGCAGUGGGGAAUAUUGGACAAUGGGCGCAAGCCUGAUCCAGUUAUGCCGCGUGGGUGAUGAAGGCCCUAGGGUUGUAAAGCCUUUUCGGCGGGGAAGAUAAUGACGGUACUCGCAGAAGAAGCCCCGGCUAACUUCGU